GCCCCUGUAGCUCAGUCGGUAGAGCGGUGCUCUCGUAAAGCACAGGCCAGCGGUUCGAUUCCGCUCGGGGGCUCCA
rnacentral:tRNA from 1 species